rnacentral:tRNA from 1 species
GCCGUCUUAGCUCAGCUGGCAGAGCACUUGACUUGUAAUCAUGAGGUCUCCGGUUCGAUUCCGGAAGACGGCU